rnacentral:misc_RNA from 1 species
UGAACUCGGACCUCGGGGAUGGGAGGCGUGAGAGGCCUUAAAUUGGCAUCAUUCGCAGGUCACAGCUCCGGCCACCAAAAGGCUGGGGGCUUCUUCAGUUGUUGGCUCAUGAGCUCCCCAUGCCUUGCCUGCCUGACUGACAGUGUGAGGCACAGCCACCUGCGGUAGCAGUGCGCUGUGCCUGUGAGCAGCGGCAGUUCCUGAGCUGCGGUGGCGGUACUGCAGUGCCGCGGCCCGCUCUCUGCAGCACCGCCAGGGUUCCUGCGGCUACUGACCCCCUCAUUAUGCUUCCCGGCUUCCCGCAGCUCACAGAGCGGUGUUCUUCCUACUGUAAUCUAUUUAUUAUUUGGCAACCGGAGACACAGUGAAGACAGGGCAUCGACAUGCAUGUCAUGAUGAACGCGGUAGUACGAGCAAGCCUGCAGAGUCAACUGCUCUCCUGCUUCGUCACAGCCAGCCUCACAGCUGCAUCCAGGCUCGCUGCUGAGGAUCCAUCCAGUCUCCGGGACAUCUUGCAGCUGGUAGGGAUCGCCACGCCGUUGGUGUUGCAGAGGAAGAAAUUGCCUAGAGAAGAUCUUGCGCCACCCCGUUCAACCAAAGGUCUGCCGCCCUCUGCAGCAUCGACAGGGAACCUGUUCACAGGUUUGCCCUUCCCUGCCAUCAUACCCAUACGAAAAUAUACCCAUGCAUACUCUAGUACUGUGGCUGCUGAUGGCCAAACACUGGAGUAUCCAUUGCUACAUCGGCUCCAGGAGGCGCACAAGCUAGUUCAAAAUUCAAAUUGGUACGGCCCAAAAGGAAAUCGGAGAAGAUCCUCCGUUUAUCUUUGUUUCAUGGAGAAAGGUUUUCUUCAUAGGUUAAAGUAAUCAAUUUAUUCGACAACUGGAGUGUCAUGUACGGCCACACAUACGCCAGGCGUAGGAGAGCCCGCGAUGUGCGCCGAGCUGAGCAGGCAGCAAAGGCACAUGCGCAGCAGGUGAGUGGCUAGGAUGGAAAGUAGCCAUCUGAUUGAUUGCGCAUGCAGCAAACAUAGAAGGCUACCGCCUGAUUGAUUGUGCAUGCAGCAAACAUAGAAGGAGAUUGGCUAGGAGAGAAAGUAGCUAGCUGAUUAGUAUCCUUCCUAUUUUGAUUAGAUCUUCAAUCAAGGAGAACCUUCUCCAUUUGUGUAAGCUGCCGGCUAUAUAUAGCCAUGUAGGGUGGCACUUGGAAAUCAAUCAAGAAUUACC